rnacentral:rRNA from 1 species
GACGAACGCUGGCGGCGUGCUUAACACAUGCAAGUCGAACGGAAAGGCCCUGCUUUUGUGGGGUGCUCGAGUGGCGAACGGGUGAGUAACACGUGAGUAACCUGCCCUUGACUUUGGGAUAACUUCAGGAAACUGGGGCUAAUACCGGAUAGGAGCUCCUGCUGCAUGGUGGGGGUUGGAAAGUUUCGGCGGUUGGGGAUGGACUCGCGGCUUAUCAGCUUGUUGGUGGGGUAGUGGCUUACCAAGGGUUUGACGGGUAGCCGGCCUGAGAGGGUGACCGGCCACAUGGGGACUGAGAUACGGCCCAGACCCCUACGGGAGGCAGCAGUGGGGAAUAUUGCACAAUGGGCGGAAGCCUGAUGCAGCAACGCCGCGUGCGGGAUGACGGCCUUCGGGUUGUAAACCGCUUUCGCCUGUGACGAAGCGUGAGUGACGGUAAUGGGUAAAGAAGCACCGGCUAACUACGUG